rnacentral:misc_RNA from 1 species
AGUACUCAAUUUCAAAUAUUUUUUAUUUGAAAUUGGAUUUGAAUGGUGUUGUGGAGUCACAUCACAACUCGUUCUAAACGCAUUAGCGGUCUUGUCUUGAUCACGCACAAUGUGAUAAGAAAACAAAGCAUUGUCGGUGUCGAGCUAAAGUCGCUUCCAACUGUCGAAAGACAAUCAUUUUAUGUC